CUAUAAAUUGCAGCCCUUCUGCACUCUCCGUCCCUCUCCCGGAUGUAUUUUUGCUAUAGCCUGUAUCAUCUUCUAACAUGCUGUAUAACUUACCAACUAGAAUGUAAGCUUCACCGGGACAGACUUGCUCUGUUUAUACCCUGGUGUACCCCAAGUGGUGGCACAUCAUGGGCUUCCUGGGGCUUUUGUCUUGCUUCACUCCACAGGGCGCUAUUAGCAUGGUAUUCACUGUUAACACCCCCUGAAACACAAGUCUAUAGACUUCAGUGAGAACAGUGCCCCCUAGAGUUGUGCGACUCAGCAGUCUAGAGCCAAAUAUCUGUGAAAGGAAGCCACAGGCGGCCUCCUCUCUCUGCUUAUGUUAUCGACCCACUAGCCUCUCUCCAAUCCUUUCAGCGCCUUCUAAUUCUGCAGCUCACAUUCUAAACCUUCCCUGUGUCAGGAUGGGGAAGCUGGCAUGAAGAACCGAGCUGAUUUUGUUUGUGGUUUCUGUUCAGACUCUGACAUCUUCUUUCAGAGAGAUGUGAGAAAGACACUUGAUAAGCUGUCGGCAGCAGUUUCUCCUAAGGGGUCUGCCAAAAACUGCGUGGGAUUUCAGGGUCUGGCUUACUUCGCCUUCUUCAGGUCUGUUACAUUUCCCAGAAUGGUUCCCAGCGCUGGAGAUAAUUCCUUUUCGGAGAACCUACAUUUCUCACCUGCUGAUUGCAAUUAGCCACUGCCAGCUGGGGCCUGGUGUGCAGCUGAAAAGCUAACAAGAAGUGGAGACCACGCGGAACCCAGACAGGGCAGAGGAUGCGACUGAAUAAGGAAUGGUGCCCAUGUUUAUGAGCCGCUCCUGUGAAUUAAGGUUUCCCGACCUUCUGGAUGGCCCUCCCUCUUCCACCUCUAUGCUCCCCAUCUCUCCUCUAUUUUUUUUUUUUUUGUCUCUGGGUUUGUGGCCCACACUUAACAUCACAGUCACGAAUUUACCACAUUUUGUUAGGCAAUAAACAGCCUUGGAAGAGAAAUGAAAUUCGACUA
rnacentral:lncRNA from 1 species